rnacentral:lncRNA from 1 species
GUGCAAUCGCCGACGCCGUGCGUACCGGAGGCCGAUACGUACGUGCCGUGUGUACGACGUAGGUGGUCACGAGGUCUUCGUAUCAGGGUUCUGUCGUUCUUGAUGUCCUCGAGCGAGAGAAUGUCCCAGAGGCCAGACCCCAGUGAUCCAUAUUCACCGGCCGGAUGCAGGCUUUGAAUCGAUCACAUGAGUUUGGCAGGGGAAAGGAUCGGAUGGAUCGGCAGGGUGAUUAAGGCACCGUAUACAGUUGAGUUGCGAGACCGUACGAGUAGUAGCCGGUCGCCGGAGGAUCCUAACGUGGAGGGAGGAUGAUCGACCAUGUGCUCGCGCAGCAUCCAACCGACCGUUGCGAGCGCGCCGUGCCAGUAAACAAACGGUGUCCUUGCUGAAGAACAUCGCGCGCCCAGUUGGAACCGUGAGGAGCGUUGAAGGAGAAACACAA